GCCUGCGCAGAAGCGAGGCGCGCCGGGGCGGCCGGAGCGGUUUCUUCGCAAGCGGCGCCAUUUUGUGCUGGGAGCCGAGAUAAAUCCGGCCCGGUUUUCUGUGAAGUGGGCGGCGGAGCCAGGGUCCCUGGAAUGGCGGAGACUCUGUCAGGCCUAGGCGAUUCGGGUGCGGCGGGCGCAGCGGCUCUGAGCUCCGCCUCGUCGGAGACCGGGACGCGGCGCCUCAGCGACUUGAGGGUGAUCGAUCUGCGGGCGGAGCUGAGGAAACGGAACCUGGACUCGAGCGGCAACAAGAGCGUUUUGAUGGAGCGGCUUAAAAAGGCAAUUGAAGAUGAGGGGGGUAAUCCUGAUGAAAUUGAAAUUACCUCUGAAGGAAAUAAGAAGACAUCAAAGAGAUCCAGCAAAGGGCGCAAACCAGAAGAAGAGGGUGUGGAAGAUAACGGGCUAGAGGAAAAUUCUGGGGAUGGACAGGAGGAUGUUGAGACCACUUUGGAGAACUUGCAGGACAUCGACAUGAUGGAUAUCAGUGUGUUGGAUGAAGCAGAAAUCGAUAAUGGAAGUGUUGCAGAUUGUGUGGACGACGACGAUGCUGAUAAUCUCCCGGAGUCCCUGUCUGAUAGUAGAGAGCUAGUCGAGGGAGAAAUGAAGGAGCUUCCUGAGCCGCUUCAAGAACAUGCUGUAGAGGACAAAGAAACUAUAAACAAUUUAGAUACUUCAUCAUCUGACUUCACUAUAUUACAGGAAAUUGAAGAGCCAUCCUUGGAGCCAGAAAAUGAGAAAAUACUCGACAUUUUGGGGGAAACUUGUAAAUCUGAGCCAGUAAAAGAAGAAGGUUCCGAGCUGGAGCAGCCAUUUGCACAGGAAACAAGUAGCGUGGGGCCAGACAGAAAGCUUGCGGAGGAAGAGGACCUUUUUGACAGCGCCCAUCCGGAGGAGGGUGAUUUAGAUUUGGCCAGCGAGUCAACAGCACAAGCUCAGUCGAGCAAGGCAGACACCCUGUUAGCGGUAGUGAAAAGGGAGCCCGUGGAGCAGACAGGCGAUGGCGAGAGGACGGACUGUGAGCCUGUAGGGCUAGAGAAGCCAGUUGAGCAGAGUAGUAAAGCCUCAGAGCACACGGAAGCCUGUAGCGAGGAGGCCUCGGAAGCGCCCCCGGAAGCCUCAAGCCCAGACCCCAGGGAUAGCAAAGAAGACGUGAAGAAGUUUGCUUUUGAAGCUUGUAAUGAAGUCCCUCCGGCUCCUAAAGAGUCCUCAGCCAGUGAGGGCGCUGAUCAGAAAAUGAGUUCUGUCGAAGAUGACUUGGAUACCAAAAGGCUUUCCAAAGAGGAAAAAGGUCGUAGCAGUUGUGGUAGGAAUUUCUGGGUUAGUGGACUUUCUUCUACCACCAGAGCUACAGAUUUGAAGAAUCUUUUCAGCAAGUAUGGGAAGGUGGUGGGCGCCAAGGUUGUGACCAACGCCCGGAGUCCUGGAGCUCGCUGCUACGGCUUUGUUACCAUGUCCACCGCGGAAGAGGCCACAAAAUGCAUUAACCACCUGCACAAAACAGAGCUCCACGGGAAGAUGAUCUCAGUGGAAAAAGCAAAAAAUGAACCUGCUGGGAAGAAAACUUCUGACAAAAGAGAAGGGGAGGGGAAAAAAGAGAAGUCUAGCAAUGCUGACAGAUCUGCAAACCUUAAGAGAGAAGAGAAGCCUGACAGAAAAGAUGAUGCUAAAAAGAGUGAAGAUGGAAGUGGAGAAAAGAGCAAAGAUCAGGAUGAUCAGAAACCUGGCCCUUCAGAACGAUCUCGAACCACAAAAUCAGGAAGUCGAGGAACUGAGCGGACUGUGGUGAUGGAUAAAUCUAAAGGUGUCCCUGUUAUCAGUGUCAAAACAUCAGGAUCCAAAGACAGAGUUUCCAAGAGCCAGGAUCGCAAAUCGGCCAGCAGGGAGAAGCGGUCUGUUGUGUCCUUUGAUAAAGUCAAAGAGUCGAGGAAGUCACGAGACUCAGAGUCCCGCAGGGUGCGCGAGCGCAGUGAGCGAGAGCAGUGCAUGCAGGCACAGCUGGAGCGGGAGGAGCGCAAGCGGCUGCUCAUCGCCCGCGAGAGGCUGGCUUUCCACAGACAUCGCCUGGAGCGGGAGCGACUGGAGCGCGAGCGGCUGGAGCGCGAGCGCAUGCGCGUGGAGCACGAGCGCAGGCGCGAGCAGGAGCGCAUCCACCACGAGCGCGAGGAGCUGCGGCGCCAACAGGAGCUGCGCUAUGAGCAGGAGCGGCGGCCCGCCGUGCGGAGGCCCUACGACGACGGGCGGCGAGAUGAUGCUUACUGGCCAGAAGCUAAGCGGGCCGCCCUGGAUGAGCGUUACCAUUCUGACUUCAACCGCCAGGACCGCUUCCACGACUUUGACCACAGGGACCGGGGACGCUACCCUGACCACUCAGUCGACAGGAGAGAAGGUUCAAGGUCAAUCAUGGGAGAAAGAGAAGGACAGAUUGAGAACUUCCCCAAAGAGCCUUGACUUCUUAGUGGGUUUCCUUGGAGAAUCAGAGGGAUGAGGGAAAGUUGUGGUCAGGGCAUCGUUCUGGCAGAAUCGCUGCCCCGUGGGUCGGUCUUCUCCCUGACUACAGCACCGACGUUCAGUCCUAUCCUCCCUCCAUGCCUGAGAACAUGGCUGGGAAUGGCUAAGCUCCUUGACUGCAUCUGAGGAGUUCGCUGCCACCUCAGGAGCAAUUCCAUGACCCUCACGGGAUUCCUGUUUCUCUGCUCCCAGGCAUAAAUCUCCCAUGCAGCUAAAUGUACCCCUAGUGUCAUGGGUUUCCUUUGGUGGAGACAUUGAGCACAGUGGUUAAAUGUCCAGGCUCCAGAAUCAGGACCAGGGUCACAUCGCGGUGCCACCACUUCUGCUGAGCCUGUUUCUCCAGCUGUGAAAGGAGGGGAGGGAGGGUGAGGUGGAGUGGGGGCUUAAAUGAGAUGACAUACGUGUCUGCGGCAAGUGUUUGCCCAGUCCUGCCGUGUUGCUCUUGAUCAUGGAUAGCUAUUCUCAUCUGAUUAGAUAGUGCUCUCCUGACUGAGAGGAGUGUUUGUGUUCUCACAUCCAUAAUCACAAGACACAACUGCUGCCCCGAACGGCAAAUGGUGACAUCUGACACAGAAAGGGAAAACCAGCACAGGCCUCAGGGCCUUGUUGGACUGGUCCGUGGGUGGGUGGGUUGUUAGACAGGAGAAUGUUGGUUAAAUUUUAAAACACCAGGGAGAGAUGGGAAUGGGCUUUAAAUAACUAGGUCUUGCUGAGAUGAACUUCUAUCCUUUCAGUGUUUGUCUGAUUCGUCUUCAGAAGGCUAUUGAUAAAAGGUCAUUCUUAAAUGUUUGUCCAAAAUUAAAUGAAGCUGUGUAAAGCAUGAGCUAUAAUUUUUUUAAAGUCAGUGCACUUUGAAGGUUGUUCGUAGAACUACUUCCGGAAUCCCGUUUGAGAGCCCUUGUUACAUUUGCCAGCACUGACUUUCCUGGACACGUUGUCUUGUGAUUUUGCCCCUUGAAGGAACAAUGUUCUAUUUUGUCCAUCUUGUAAGAUAGACCCCCUUUUGUUGUGUUUAGGGCGGUGUGGGCACACAUUUGGGGACGAGCGGCUGUGGGGAGCAGGCAGCGGUGCUGCCCAGUGCGCUGAGGGCCACGAAGUCAGGGCUCCCAUGUGGAGCCACCGUGUACCUGCCCUGGCCCAGGAGAUUCCCGUGGAUGCAGACGGGGACAGGGCCGCUGGAGCGGGACCCCAAGGGGCUUCGUUACCAGGACGCCUUUCUCCUUCCUUCUCAGUUAGACCAUAGUCCUGGGGCAAAAGCCCCAAAGCCACAGAUCAGCAUUACCCCGAACGCCACGGAGGACCA